rnacentral:siRNA from 1 species
UUUUGGGAGGGAUCUCGUGGU